GGUCAAGCGAACAAGUGCAUGUGGUGGAUGCCUUGGCGAUCACAGGCGAUGAAGGACGCGGUAGCCUGCGAAAAGCCCCGGGGAGCUGGCAAACAAGCUUUGAUCCGGGGAUGUCCGAAUGGGGAAACCCACUCCGUAUGGAGUAUCCAUGACUGAAUACAUAGGUCAUGUGAAGCGAACGCGGUGAACUGAAACAUCUAAGUAACCGCAGGAAAAGAAAUCAACCGAGAUUCCCAAAGUAGUGGCGAGCGAAAUGGGAUGAGCCUUGUACUCUUUAUUCGUAUUGUUAGCCGAACGCUCUGGAAAGUGCGGCCAUAGCAGGUGAUAGCCCUGUAGGCGAAAACAGUAUGAAAGAACUAGGUGUACGACAAGUAGGGCGGGACACGUGAAAUCCUGUCUGAAGAUGG
rnacentral:rRNA from 1 species